CAGCAGCCGCGGUAAUACGAAGGGUGCAAGCGUUAAUCGGAAUUACUGGGCGUAAAGCGCACGCAGGCGGUUUGUUAAGUCAGAUGUGAAAUCCCCGAGCUUAACUUGGGAACUGCAUUUGAGACUGGCAAGCUAGAGUCCUGUAGAGGGGGGUAGAAUUCCAGGUGUAGCGGUGAAAUGCGUAGAGAUCUGGAGGAAUACCGGUGGCGAAGGCGCCCCCCUGGACAAAGACUGACGCUCAGGUGCGAAAGCGUGGGGAGCAAACAGGAUUAGAUACCCCGGUAGUCCCUGUCUCUUAUAC
rnacentral:rRNA from 1 species